rnacentral:rRNA from 1 species
UACGUAGGGCGCAAGCGUUGUCCGGAAUUAUUGGGCGUAAAGAGCUCGUAGGUGGCCUGUCGCGUCGGCUGUGAAAACUCGGGGCUCAACUCCGAGCUUGCAGUCGAUACGGGCAGGCUAGAGUUCGGCAGGGGAGACUGGAAUUCCGGGUGUAGCGGUGGAAUGCGUAGAGAUCCGGAAGAACACCAGUGGCGAAGGCGGCCCGCUGGGCAGUGGCUGACGCUGAGGCGCGACAGCGUGGGGAGCAAACAGG